GACGAACGCUGGCGGCGUGCUUAACACAUGCAAGUCGAGCGGUAAGGCCCUUUCGGGGGUACGACGAGCGGCGAACGGGUGAGUAACACGUGGGUGACCUGCCCUCAGCUCUGGGAUAAGCCUCGGGAAACCGGGUACUAAUACUGGAUAUGACUCCAUGACGCAUGUUGUGGGGUGGAAAGCCUUGUGCGGCUGAGGAUGGGCCCGCGGCCUAUCAGCUUGUUGGUGGGGUGAGGCCUACCAAGGCGACGACGGGUAGCCGGCCUGAGAGGGCGACCGGCCACACUGGGACUGAGACACGGCCCAGACUCCUACGGGAGGCAGCAGUGGGGAAUCUUGCGCAAUGGGCGAAAGCCUGACGCAGCGACGCCGCGUGA
rnacentral:rRNA from 1 species